AUACGGCCAUAUCACGUUGAAACAUUGGUCCCCGUAUGGUCACCGAAGUUAAGCAACGUCAAGCCUUAUUAAUACAUAGAUGGGUGACAUCCUGGGAAUACCAAGUGCU